rnacentral:rRNA from 1 species
UUGGAGGGCAAGUCUGGUGCCAGCAGCCGCGGUAAUUCCAGCUCCAAUAGCGUAUAUUAAAGUUGUUGCAGUUAAAAAGCUCGUAGUUGAAUUUCGGGGUUAGUAGGUUGGUCAUGCCACUGGUAUGUACUGAUCUUACUGAUUCCUCCUUCCUGAUGAACCGUAAUGCCAUUAAUUUGGUGUUGCGGGGAGACUGGACUGUUACUUUGAAAAAAUUAGAGUGUUUAAAGCAGGCUAACGCUUGAAUACAUUAGCAUGGAAUAAUGAAAUAGGACGUUCGAUCCUAUUUUGUUGGUUUCUAGGAUUGACGUAAUGAUUAAUAGGGAUAGUUGGGGGCAUUAGUAUUCAAUUGUCAGAGGUGAAAUUCUUGGAUUUAUUGAAGACUAACUACUGCGAAAGCAUUUGCCAAGGAUGUUUUCAUUAAUCAAGAACGAAAGUUAGGGGAUCGAAGACGAUCAGAUGCCGUCGUAGUCUUAACCAUAAACUAUGCCGACUAGGGAUCGGAUGAUGUUAAUUUUUUAAUGACUCAUUCGGCGCCUUACGGGAAAC